GGGGCCCGCACGAAGCGGUGGAGCAUUGUUGGUUUAAUUCGAUGAUACGCGAAGAACCUUUACCGGGGUUUGACAUGCAGGUGAUCGCCGUUUGAAAGACGGUUUUCCUCUUCGGAGGCACCUGCACAGGUGCUGCAUGGCUGUCGUCAGCUCGUGUCGUGAGAUGUUGGGUUAAGUCCCGCAACGAGCGCAACCCUUAUCCCCAGUUGCCAUCAGGUAAAGCUGGGAACUCUGGGGAGACUGCCGGUGAUAAACCGGAGGAAGGCGGGGAUGACGUCAAGUCCUCAUGGCCCUUACAUCCCGGGCUACACACGUGCUACAAUGGCAGGUACAGAGGGCUGCAAAGCCGCGAGGUAGAGCGAAUCCCAGAAAACCUGUCUCAGUCCGGAUUGAAGUCUGCAACUCGACUUCAUGAAGGCGGAAUCGCUAGUAACCGCGAAUCAGCAGGUCGCGGUGAAUACGUUCCCGGGCCUU
rnacentral:rRNA from 1 species